CUUAUAAUAAGUCAAAGCUUUGUGACUAUUAACAAAAUUAAGCUAUUGGAAGGAACAGUUCCCGUCAAACACCUUUGGCCAAAGUGAAAACGAGAAGAACAAUUUGGAAAAUGUAAGCAAAUUCUCCCAGCCUUAGUGAACACCUUUGGCGCCAACCUAUAAGCUAAACAGCUGAUAUGGAAUUCCCAUAACCCCUUUUUCCUCAAAAUUUUCCUAUAUAAACAUAUCUGAGAUAUUUUUCUCUCUCUUCAGACUAACUUUUCCUUUAAUUUGUUGUGUACAAGUUACUUUCUCCCUCUCCUAAAGUAGGAUUUGGCCUGCAGAGCCAGAACAUUAGAGCCUUAUCAAGCCGCUUCCUAUUACUAAUUGACUCCAAGAACCUUCAGUUAUGAACAGUCCAAAAGCUGAAACCUGAAAACUCGAUUGAUUAUUUUGUACGCACCUGCUUGCUAAGGUUACCAAGGCCAUCCAUCCAAACGAGAAAGUGCAUCAGCUGCUGCCAGUAACAAAAUUAAACCCUGUAAAGUAGUCGAUGUAUUAGACUAUAAUUUUGAUUUUGGAAAAAUCAUUAUAUUUAAAUACUUAUUUGGGCCCCAACAAGGCAACACUUAUAAAAUAAAAAUUCAUAUCAAUACCACAACAAGGCAACUUUUACAUUUAAGUAAAGUAUUCAUUAUACUUCUUUUAUUAGGGUCAUCGAGACAUCAAUAUCGAGGCAUCAUAUCGCAAGUAAACUCACAGCAUCGUUAGGGUCAUUUAGGCAUCAAUAUUUGAAGAAUAUUCAAGGCAUCAGUAGGGUCAUCGAGGCAUUAAUAUUGCAAGCAAAUUUAAGUCAUCAUUAGGAUCAUUGAGGCAUCAGUAUCACAUAAAAAAGGCAUCAAUAUCAACAUUAAUAUUUAUGCCUCAAUAAUUUAGUUAAGGCCAUCGAGGCAUUAUGAAUGAAAAUUCAUUUCGAUAUCGCAAUAAGGCAACUUUUACAUUUGAGUGAAGUAUUUAUAUUUCUUCAUUUUAUCAGGGUCGUCGAGGCAUCAAUAUCACAAGUAAAUUCAAGGCAUCUUUAGGGUCAUCGAAGCUACAAUAUAGCAAAUAAACUCAAGGAAUCAUUAGGGUCAUCGUAGCAUCAAUGCUGCAAGUAAAUUCAAGGCAUCUAUAUUUCAAAUAAAUUCAAGGCAGCAUUAGGGUCAUAGAGGCAUAAAUAUCUAAAUAAUGCAACUACACAGUUCUCCCUAUGUAUCCAAACAAGAGCUCCAAAAAAUUAAACCAAUUAUAAUUUCAUAUACAAUUGAAAUUAUAAUGAGCCUCAAAAAGCAAACCAGACAAUAUGACUACUUUAAAUUUGUUUGCAAAAUAAUCAAUAGAAUAAGAAAUCCUGGUCAAUUUAUCAUACCUUACGUCACCUACAUUAGCUCUCAUUUAAAUGUUAAAGGGCAUUUAUUGUGUACUGAACUAACUUAAUAUAAAACCGACCUUAUCGUAGUAUGAUGAGGGAAAAUAAAAAUUACAUGUAUUCAGUAUAUAAAGAUCGUUGUACUAUACCUCAUUGUUAUUAUUAGAAGAAUUUUUCCACAGCCAUCAAAGAUGAAGAGCCGUUGGAUAACAACUGCUGCACUGUGACCCGCACGUGCCUCCUGGCAUUCUCCUCUUAUAAUUGAACAUUCCCCCACAUUUGCAAAGUUAAAAACAAUGCAACAUCAGAAAGUUAAAAAGAGUGCAUCAAAUAGUGUAUUGCUAGUUAGAAUUUCUGAAAUGGAUAUAUAUAAAAAAGAUAUGAGAAAGAAUACUCAC
rnacentral:lncRNA from 1 species